AUGGCUCAGGAUGAACGCUAGCUACAGGCUUAACACAUGCAAGUCGAGGGGCAUCAGGGCGAUAGCUUGCUAUUGCCGCUGGCGACCGGCGCACGGGUGAGUAACGCGUAUCCAACCUUCCCCAUAGUAGAGGAUAGCCCGGCGAAAGUCGGAUUAAUACUCUAUGUUAUUCAAUGCGGACAUCUAAUUUGAAUUAAAGAUUUAUCGCUAUGGGAUGGGGGAUGCGUCUGAUUAGCUUGUCGGCGGGGUAACGGCCCACCGAGGCGACGAUCAGUAGGGGUUCUGAGAGGAAGGUCCCCCACAUUGGUACUGAGACACGGACCAAACUCCUACGGGAGGCAGCAGUGAGGAAUAUUGGUCAAUGGGCGUAGGCCUGAACCAGCCAAGUAGCGUGCAGGAUGACUGCCCUAUGGGUUGUAAACUGCUUUUAUGCGGGAAUAAAGUCAGGUACGUGUACCUGUUUGUAUGUACCGCAUGAAUAAGGACCGGCUAAUUCCGUGCCAGCCGCCGC
rnacentral:rRNA from 1 species